CUCAGAUUGAACGCUGGCGGAAUGCUUUACACAUGCAAGUCGAACGGGUAGAGGGGGCAACCCUUGAGAGUGGCGAACGGGUGAGUAAUAUAUCGGAACGUGCCCAGUCGUGGGGAUAACGUAGCGAAAGCUACGCUAAUACCGCAUACGAUCUAUGGAUGAAAGCGGGGAUCGCAAGACCUCGCGCGAUUGGAGCGGCCGAUAUCAGAUUAGGUAGUUGGUGAGGUAAAGGCUCACCAAGCCGACGAUCUGUAGCUGGUCUGAGAGGACGACCAGCCACACUGGGACUGAGACACGGCCCAGACUCCUACGGGAGGCAGCAGUGGGGAAUUUUGGACAAUGGGCGCAAGCCUGAUCCAGCAAUGCCGCGUGCAGGAUGAAGGCCUUCGGGUUGUAAACUGCUUUGUACGGAACGAAACGGUGAGCUCUAAUACAGUUUGCUAAUGACGGUACCGUAAGAAUAAGCACCGGCUAACUACGUG
rnacentral:rRNA from 1 species